GGGCUAGGGAGGUGACAGUAGCAGACAGGCUGACAGAGAAGAAUAGAUGAGGGCUAGGGAGGUGACAGUAGCAGACAUGCUGACAGAGAAUAAUAGAUGAGGGCUAGGGAGGUGACAGUAGCAGACAUGCUGACAGAGAAGAAUAGAUGAGGGCUAGGGAGGUGACAGUAGCAGACAUGCUGACAGAGAAGAAUAGAUGAGGGCUAGGGAGGUGACAGUAGCAGACAUGCUGACAGAGAAGAAUAGAUGAGGGCUAGGGAGGUGACAGUAGCAGACAUGCUGACAGAGAAGAAUAGAUGAGGGCUAGGGAGGUGACAGUAGCAGACAUGCUGACAGAGAAGAAUAGAUGAGGACUAGGGAGGUGACAGUAGCAGACAUGCUGACAGAAGAAUAGAUGAGGACUAGGGAGGUGACAGUAGCAGACAUGAUGACAGAGAAGAAUAGAUGAGGGCUAGGGAGGUGACAGUAGCAGACAUGCUGACAGAAGAAUAGAUGAGGGCUAGGGAGGUGACAGUAGCAGACAUGCUGACAGAGAAGAAUAGAUGAGGGCUAGGGAGGUGACAGUAGCAGACAUGCUGACAGAGAAGAAUAGAUGAGGACUAGGGAGGUGACAGUA